GUCCCACUGCUGGGGGUGGAGAGCCAGGAAUCCCGAGUGGAGGCCCGAGGACGCCCAGUCUCUGCUGCUUCCCCCACAGGACCCUCCGCCUGGUGGGACCCGACGCGGACCCCGCCGAGCUCUGCGUCCACGACUGGUGCCCCCAGGAACGCGUCCGUGGGAAGCAGGGAAAGUUUCAAACAUGGUGGAAUGGAGUCGUCGGAUCUUUCUUUCUAUGCCGGAUUGCAGGCGGCCCCGAGGCUGGCCAACCGCACGAAUCAUCUGCCAUGAGCAUGGCCUCUGCUGUAGAAAUCUCUAAUCCUUCAAUUAACUUUUCCUGCUGUAGCAAGAUUAGGUCAAAAGACUGUCUUCUCUGGUUGAGCCAGAACCAAACAACGUUCCUAAGACUUUUCAACAACUUGCUUACACUCUGGUUUCCACAAUGUUGGAAGUAAGGUGACUAUUAUACCUCCAGCUCGCGUCACAGUAGAAGUCUGUGGAAACCACCCAAAAUGUCAGCCCCGCAAUUCAUGCACUACUGUGUUGAUCCCCUUGUUUAGUCUGUCAAAGCCUCAGUUUCCUCAUCUGUCAAAUGGGACAACAGCUAACUUCAAGGAUUUUAUGGGGAUCAGAGUGAAUCCUGUGCUGAAGGAUGCUCCCUGCCUGACACAGCAUGCACACUCUGACUGGAGCCUCCGUCCACUUUUCUUGCUGGAGCCUCCGUCCACUUUUCUUGCUUGGGAACUCUUCUUUCAUUCAUUCAACAAACACACACUGCUUAAGUUGUGCAAGGCAGGACUUCAGGCCCUGAGGCCCCAGACUGAACGAGCAGGACAGUGCACCUGGUCUUACACGGCUUCUGGUCUUGUGAGAGAGACAGAUGGCAAACGAAUGAAGAGACAGCGGUCGGUGGUGGGUGCUCAGUGUGAAUGAACCGGGAUGCCAACGGUAGGAAAGAAAGGAGGGGGGUCUGCUUUAUGCUGAGCGGAAGGCAGGUCUCUGGGAAGUACACUUGAGCUGAGACCUAAAUGACAAGGAGUUAAGCCCACUGAACACCUGAAAGAAGAGCUUUCUAGAAAGAAGGCAGAGCUGGGGAGAGCCCUGCUCCUGGCACGAGUGGACUUGCACGGCUUCACACAAGGCACAGGACAGCGGUGGGCAGAGCCCUGAGCACUCGGGGCCUCUUUGGUUGGAGUGAAGAGCUUGUAUUUUCUCCUCAGUGCAACGAGGAGCCUGUGGAGAAUUUAAAGCAAAGGCAGGAACGAGAACUGGCCUACGUGCCUGCCCACCGCCAGGAAGGGUAGUUUUGGGGCAACAAGAGUAGAGGGAGGAAGACCACACAGGAGGCUAACGUGGCCAUGUGGGCGACGGAUGCUGGUGGCCCGGACCGCCGUGGGAGCCAUGGGACGGUCAGAGGCGCACAGGUGCCACGAGAUCUUAGAGAACGAGUCAGCAGGACCUGCAGCUGGAUUGAACUGAGGAGGGAGGUGAGGAAGAGCCAGAGAUCAAGGAGGAUUCCCAGGAUUUGACGUGAGCCACGGAGGCGCCAUUUACUGAGAAAACACCAGGGAAGGAGCACGCUUAUGGGAGAAAAUCCAGAUUUCAGUUCUGGACACUGCAAGUUGGAGAUGCCUAUUAAACAUACACGUGGAUACGAGCAGGUGGCAGCAUAGGCCUGGGCGCACAAGGGGGAUGUCAGGGGAGGGUCAGGGCUGAGGAUACAGAGAUGUGUUUUAGGCUAAUGAGGGUACUUAGAGCCACAGAACUGGGUGAGAUUCCCAAAAGACCGGGUGUGGAUGGAGGGGAAAAGGAGUCAAGGUGCAGUCGCAGGACAAGCCAGCACUCGGAGGCCCAGUGGAGGGUUCUGAGGAGGAGGCGCCCGAGCAGAAACACCAGGAGAGGGUGAAGCUGCAAGAGCAAAGAGGGCGUCAAGUGCAAGGGUCUGAGUCACAGUUUUUAUAGCCACCAGGCUUGCUUCACAAACACCCCAUUAACAGCAAACCAGCAUUAAGGCCAAUCACCAACCUGUCGACCCCAAGAGCCAAGUCAGUGUUCACUUCUCAAGUGUAUCAGCGUACGGGGUGAAUUGUGUCAACAAAAUAAGGUAUGUUGGAGUCUUAACCCUCAGUUCCUCAGAACGUGACCUAAGUUGGAUAUGGGAUCUUCACAGAGGCAAUCGAGUUAAAACUAGACCUUUAAGGUGGGUUCUAAUCCAGUAUUACUGGUGGCCUUAUAAGAAGAGGACACAGACACACACACACAGGGAGACGCCAUGUGAAAAUGAAGACAGAGAUCAGGAGAUGGAGCAGAAGCCAAGGAAGGCCACAGAUUCCAGCAGGCACGGAAGCCGGGAGAAAGGCCCGGCACGGGUUCUCCUUCAAGCCCUCACAGGCCGAAGAAGGAACCCACAUCUUGAACCAGACUUCUAGUCUCCAGAACUUGACACAAUAAACUUGGGUGAAGCUCCCCAGUGUGUGGUACUUUGCCAGGCAGUCUUAAGAAACCAACAUGGCCAGUAGGCCAGAAGGGCAGCCACAGGCCUCAGCACUCUCACGCUGGGGUCUCCCUUCCCCGUGUGCAAAAGACAAAGUAGGUUCUGAGACAGUGUUAGCACUGUGGGACACCUCCAUGGGCUUGUUCUCAGUGUAUGAAAAUGGAACUUUGCUGCCAGCACUAGCAAAAACACUCGGGACAAAAUCACACAGGGAGAGUGCUAUUGGGUGUGGCUUAAUGCCACAGGGAGCCCACUUUUGUCAGGAGGUAGAGGAGAGAAGGCUGCAAGCUGUGGGGAACACGAGAGCCAAAACGGUGGAGGGAAGCAAAGCUGAGCGUUUGUUGUGCACAGAAGGAGUAAGAAGACUGAAGGAGAGCAUGGUGGCCACGUGGUGGCCCCAAAGGGAGGGCGCAGGGCCUCCACCGUUUGUCCAGUUAGAAACAACUUGUGUGGACCGUGCACACACACUUCGAAGGCCUCCUCUCUCUCUGCCUAUUUCUGUUCCCACGAGAAACGGCAACACUGUUUCUCUUUUGAUACUAAAUUUACAAAAUUCAAAAGAAAAUAUGGCAUUUUUUGUGUUAAAAAAUGUGGAACGUACCCAUAAGGUGUUCGAGUUAAGCUGUCUUUGAUCAUAAGGAGCAGAUAUCCACAAAUGUGUUCAACUCAGAUGCAGGACACUGGCUGUUGUCAGGAUCCAUGUGAGGUAGGGAGAGACGUUCAGUUGAAAUCAAGAACUUUGGUAAUAAAAAUAGGUCCCACUUCAUAUUGUGCCAGCACCCUGAGAAGUGCUCCCCACGUGCUGACUCCUUCGUUCCUCACAGUGCCCCUCCAGGGGAGGUGCUGUACUUAACGCCCGUCUUAUGGACGAGGAAACUAAGGUAGAGAGAUUAGGUGUGUUGCCCGAAAUUACAAAGCUGGUAAGUGAGGAACCAGGAUUUGAACCAAGAUGGGCUGGCUCCUAGGAAUGUGCCCCUACAGACUAGUCUGUGCAGCUCCUCGGGGACCCGAAUGGAACUGGGCAGACUGGGGAUGCGCCGUCUUCUCCUUCCUCCUGCCUUUCUCCCCCUUUCCUUCUCUCUCUCUCUCCCUCCACCUCUCUCUGUCUCUCUCGACGUUUCUGUUCCUCCUCUCGUGUGUCUGCUGUGUUCUCUUUGGCCGCUAACCAGCUUCUUCUUCCUGAGUGCUCUCUGUUGCCUCUCUCCACUCAAUACCUUCUACUCACUCCUCGUUUCUGCUCCCUUACGCCUUCAACCCGGGCCAUGGCGCAUCACAG
rnacentral:lncRNA from 1 species